rnacentral:rRNA from 1 species
AUACGGAGGGUGCAAGCGUUACUCGGAAUCACUGGGCGUAAAGCGCGCGCAGGCGGUCUUUUAAGUUGGAUGUGAAAGCCUACGGCUCAACCGUAGAACUGCAUCCAAAACUGUCAGGCUCGAGUGUGGGAGAGGAAGGUGGAAUUAGUUGUGUAGGGGUAAAAUCCGUAGAGAUAACUAGGAAUACCAAAAGCGAAGGCAAUCUUCUGGAACACUACUGACGCUGAGGCGCGAAGGCGUGGGGAGCAAACAGGAUUAGAAACCCGGGUAGUCC